UACAGAGGGGGCAAGCGUUAUUCGGAAUUAUUGGGCGUAAAGGGCGCGUAGGCGGCUUUGCAAGUGACGGGUGAAAGCCCUCGGCUUAACCGAGGAACUGCCUGUCAGACUGUGAGGCUUGAGACCGGGAGAGGUGAGUGGAAUUCCCAGUGUAGCGGUGAAAUGCGUAGAUAUUGGGAGGAACACCAGUGGCGAAGGCGGCUCACUGGACCGGAACUGACGCUGAGGCGCGAAAGCGUGGGAGCAAACAGG
rnacentral:rRNA from 1 species